UCCAGACUCCUACGGGAGGCAGCAGUAGGGAAUCUUUCACAAUGGGCGAAAGCCUGAUGGAGCAACGCCGCGUGCAGGAUGAAGGCCUUCGGGUUGUAAACUGCUUUUAUAAGCGAGAAAUAUGAUGGUAACUUAUGAAUAAGGAUCGGCUAACUACGUGCCAGCAGCCGCGGUAAUACGUAGGGGGCAAGCGUUAUCCGGAUUUACUGGGUGUAAAGGGAGCGUAGACGGAAUUGCAAGUCUGAUGUGAAAAUCCGGGGCCCAACCCCGGAACUGCAUUGGAAACUGUAUUUCUAGAGUGUCGGAGAGGCAAGUGGAAUUCCUGGUGUAGCGGUGAAAUGCGUAGAUAUCAGGAGGAACACCAGUGGCGAAGGCGGCUUGCUGGACGAUGACUGACGUUGAGGCUCGAAAGCGUGGGGAGCAAACAGGAUUAGAUAC
rnacentral:rRNA from 1 species